rnacentral:misc_RNA from 1 species
GCCGAGUGCCGAGUGCAGUCAGUGAGUGCCGUGGCCUGUCGGUGUGUGCUUGUGUCGUGCUGUGCUAGUAGUGGUGUUGGUGUUAGCCAGAGCUGUCUCCUUGCCGCGACGCGCGACCCGCGACAGUCGCCGACGCGAUUAUUUGUGUUGCCGCGACAACCGAGAUCUGUUGUGUCGAUAGGCAGUGAUGCGCGCGUGUCGCUUUAUUGCUACUGCUCUUGGUUUUUGCUAAUGCUGUUGGAUUGAUAGGAUUUAUUUUUCACGAGAGAUGAUUAUGGUGGGGUGAUGAUGACUCCGCUGUGGGUGGAGUCGCGGGCCUGGCUGGUGACGGGGGCGGGUGCACCCCUGGCGGCCGUGGUGCUCUGCUGGGCGGUGCUCGUGCUGCGAUGCAGCCAUGGCAGCACCAACCACUGGCGCCGUCCCCUCGAUCCGCUGCUAGUCGCGCUCCUAGUCGAGGCCGUUCUACACCAGGUGGCAGCCUCGCUGCACGCGGGCCUGGCGCUGUUGCGACCCGAGUCGGAGGUGUGGUGUUCGCUGCUGGCCUGGCUUCUGCAGGCUGUCCGGACCAUGCAGGCCGGCACUCUGACGUCACUGGCCCUGGCUCGCUGCUUCAGGCAUCGGCCUCUGCUCGUCUACCACCUCAUCUGCCUCGCCGUGCUCAGCUCGUCGGUCGGAGUUGCCGCUGUCCUCGCACGAGUCAGGCCCUGUCACGCUGAAAGCGAUCGCAGGUACAUAGUGUUCUGGCUGGGGCUACACACUUCUCUGGCGGUUGGUUCGGUGGUGGCGCUGUUCUCGACCUGCUGUCGGCUGACGUCAUCAGCAUCCUCGUCGGCGUCGACGUCCGACUGUCGCGUGCAUCGACGCCAGCUGCUCAACUCGUCUUCGGAUCUGUCGUCCGCACUGUCCGACAUCUCCAUGAUAUCGACAAUGCGCUCGCGCAGCACGCGUGUAGCGCACAGUGUGAGCGACUGCAGCGCACGAGUCACGCACAGUGUGAGCGACUGCAGCGCGCGGGCACGCAGGUGUCUGGUCGAGGAGUUGCUGCGAAUCUCGCCGGCCAACGAACAAGGUGGCAGCCCGCCGAUCACCUACCUGGACUCGGGCCCGGACACGAGUCGCCUGCACUACAGCAGCUCGUUUGUGGAGUCUGGCAGUGAGGACUUGGAUUACGGUGCCAUCGCUGAGCCGUGCUACGGGUCAACCACCAACUCGGCCUCAUCCACCAAUAGCCGCGCGCCUUGUCUGCACAAUUCCGGCACAAGCGUCCGUCAGGAGCUGCCUCUCUGCACUGUCCUCUCCGUGCUUGGCCUCUGCUACUUUGUCAACCAUAUUCCUGUACUGGUGCUGACGGUGCUAGUGAACUACUUUCCGUGGGUGAUGGCGGCACAGCAACUGCCACUGGAGUACGUGCCACUGUGGUGUGGCCUGCUGGAGGGAUUCCUACUGCCGCUGGUGCUGGCACUUGCCGACAAGGCCUUCCAGAAGAGGGUGGCAGCCGUCUACACCCGCCACAGACCCAGCGACAUAUCCAAGCCUCUCCAAGGUCUUCAUGGCAAGUUCAGGCCGUUCAAUAACAGCCUCCUUGAUUGCCAAAGGCCUACGACUGAAACCGUGAGGUUCCCACUCACCAAUGGAUCCCUUUUCACCAGUCUGGACGGCAGAAUCCCCGUCAUACAUCAUUACCGGAGGUGUAAAGGUGUGAGAACUAGUGCGCUGCCGCCAUACUGCCUCAACCUGAACCUGGCGGCGCGGUUCCCGCAUUCCAUGUCGGCGGUAGCGGCGACGGGGGCUGGAGUGGUGGCGGGGGUGGCCGAUGGAGGCGGUUCUGCCUCCCAGCUGCACGCCAACCUGGUGUCUGCAGCGAGCGUGGGCGGCGACGAGUCGAACGUGUUCCGACCGAGGGAUGAGAUGGAGCGGCCGGCGGCAGUCGCGUCCACUCAGUGCCUCCUGACGCAGCGACUCAGCACGACCGACCUUCGCGGCGUCGACAACAUCCGACGCCUGCGGGAGUCGCUGUUCCUCGACGCCGAAGCGACCACGUCCGAGGACGAGGACGGCGACGAUGAGGAGGAUGACGGCGAGGCCGAGGAGCCGCUGUACGCGACGCUCUCCUCUCGCAGCGUCUGCUCAGCCACGACUGCCGCCAACGACGACUUCGAGUUCUACCAGCGUCGAUUUGUGUCGAGCAGCUCGUCCGUCGAUACUCCCCACCAUCGACAGGGUGAGAACAGACGCAAGAUGUCGUUGAGCAGCGAUGUGGAAACGUCACAGGUGCCAAUAAGACAGCAGCAGCCGCUGUACAGGCAGCAGCCAGUGGCCGGGGGGCGGCGACGCCUGGGAGUGCCCCCGACGCCGCCUCCGCCGCGACGCCUGGCGCCGGUUCUCUCGGUCGACUCGCUGGUCGCCGCCCUCAGCCACUCUGACGUCUCCUACUUGGACACCGGCGACGUCUGUCGACACUCUGCAGACAGGUCGGGCAGUGUGCCCGAUCUCAAAAAAGUAUUCUACACCGGUUUCCUAUGAGACAACUACUGUCAUCUCCACAGGCAAUAGUAUAAUCUAUUGCAUACGUAGUAGGCUACAAGUUUCAAUUUUAUUCUUUUGUCUUUGAUGCAACUCACUAGUAUUACGUAGCUUAAUCGAGAGAAACAAGAUAGAAUAUUAGCCGAGUCAAGAGAAAUCAAGAGAGUUUGAUAUUAGGUUGAUAAUUCUGAAAUACUCUCGAUGUCAAGCAUAUAGAUAGAUGUUUAAUGUAGAAGUGUCAUUUAAUCUAUAAUAUUAUGACAAGUUACUCUCAGAGUCAAGCGGAUGGAUUGAUUUGAUCUAUAAUUUCAUGUUACAGAAUAAACCUGAUCAAAAGUCAGGAUAAUGUAUUGAUAAAUAUUAUCAUAAUAGACUGGAUUUAGAUACAAAGAAUGUUUUGGGCUAAUGCCUGUUUUAUCAUUCCAUCAUUGUAGUAUGCUUGUGAUUCGAUAAUGAUUGAUGAGAGGGACUCAUACUCAUUACAAUUAGGUGCGGAUUUAUCUAAUAUUUUUCGUACGGUAUUGAUUUGUUUUCGUGUCAAAAUUCUUUAAAAUCCAGUUGUUAAAUAAACGUUUUUGAUUUUUUUGCGGAGGGUCAUUACCUUACAAUCUCUAGACUUUGCUGUGAAUAAGAUGUUAAUCGACCUAACAUCACUUGAAUUGGCAGCUCUUCAUUCAUAUUCAAAGAAUUGUCAUUUACCCAGUUUAAAAAUCCAGAAGUGAUUUAUUAUAAUGCUUCUGGAAAGAAUGUCCUUCCUUAUGUAAUAAAUAAAGGCUCUUCUUUACUUUGAAUCAAUUAAACAUCAUCAACCAGGACUUUCUUGAAAUUAUUAUUGGGAGUUAUAGUUUUUUAUCAGGCAUAAUACACAUAGUAGCCGAUACAGUAUUAGAGAACUAUUGCCUUCAUAUAGUGCCUUUAUAAUCUAUUGUAUUAAUGCUUUAAUCAGCUCUUUAUUUUUUACUGUAGGCUAUACUAGGUUUUACAUGUUUUCAUUGUUUUAAGAGGCGUAGAGAAAAAUAAUGAUGGAUUUUAAACGAUUAGCAACCUGAAUAGGUCAGAAAUGUUGUACCUUGACAAACCAAAGGCUCAAUAUGAGUGCCAAAGCUUCGAACUUUCAAGAAACAGUCCUUGUGGAAGUUUUUAACUAAUUUAUGUAUCAUAUGUGUGUUUAGCUUUAUUCUCUGAAUGUACUAUUCACUAUAAUCUGUAUUAUAAGAAUACUAAAAGUUUUUUCUUCAAUUUAUUUCCUCGAAAAUCUAUUGAUUCGACCUAUUGUAUUUAACAGUAUUUGUAUUGUGGAAGGUACGGUACCUGUGACAGAAAUGAUGUUCUCCAUUUUACUUAUAAGCAUGAAUAGUUUAUUCAAUUCAGAAUAUAAUAUUUUAAUGAAGAUCGAUAUUAUAUUAUGACACGUCGACUAUUGAAAAAUGUUGUAUGUUGUAAGUGUAUUUUUUUAUGUUCCAAUUUAUGUUAUUAACGUUCCGGUAGUCGCGCUCUACUCUAACACACGAGCAGUCGUGUUUUGUACAGCAUUCAAGUUUCCAAGUGUUAUUUACUCUGUUUACUGUCAAAACAUAUUAAUUAAUUGUAUAAUUACUUUCUCCAUCUUCUUGGAUUAUUUCACGCCUAUGAACAUUUGAAUAAUUACCAUUUCAUAUCCCAAUAAGGUAAGCAAGCAAAGCCAUCAAUUUUGUGUUAUUGGAUCGUUUACAGUAUUUCCCUAUCUUAUGCACAGUGCGACUUAUGCACUGUCGCGACUAAAUGGCACUUAAAGACUGAACCAUUGCUCGGUUGAUACUGCAACUCAGUGGAGUGAUGGGGGGAAAGUUUUGGAAUGCAUAGUUU